rnacentral:rRNA from 1 species
GACGAACGCUGGCGGCGUGCUUAAUACAUGCAAGUCGAACGGAAAGGCCCUGCUUUUGUGGGGUGCUCGAGUGGCGAACGGGUGAGUAACACGUGAGUAACCUGCCCUUGUCUUUGGGAUAACUUCAGGAAACUGGGGCUAAUACCGGAUAGGAUCUCCUGCUGCAUGGUGUGGGUUGGAAAGUUUCGGCGGUUGGGGAUGGUCUCGCGGCUUAUCAGCUUGUUGGUGGGGUAGUGGCUUACCAAGGCUUUGACGGGUAGCCGGCCUGAGAGGGUGACCGGCCACAUUGGGACUGAGAUACGGCCCAGACUCCUACGGGAGGCAGCAGUGGGGAAUAUUGCACAAUGGGCGGAAGCCUGAUGCAGCAACGCCGCGUGCGGGAUGACGUCCUUCGGGUUGUAAACCGCUUUCGCCUGUGACGAAGCGUGAGUGACGGUAAUGGGUAAAGAAGCACCGGCUAACUACGUG